GCAGUCGCCACGGUAAUACGAAGGGUGCAAGCGUUAAUCGGAAUUACUGGGCGUAAAGCGCGCGUAGGUGGUUCGCCAAGUUGGAUGUGAAAUCCCCGGGCUCAACCUGGGAACUGCAUCCAAAACUGGCGAGCUAGAGUAUGGUAGAGGGUGGUGGAAUUUCCUGUGUAGCGGUGAAAUGCGUAGAUAUAGGAAGGAACAUCAGUGGCGAAGGCGACCACCUGGACUGAUACUGACACUGAGGUGCGAAAGCGUGGGGAGCAAACAGGAUUAGAUACCCCCGUAGUCCCUGUCUCUUAUAC
rnacentral:rRNA from 1 species